rnacentral:rRNA from 1 species
GUGCCAGCCGCCGCGGUAAUACGGGGGGAGCAAGCGUUGUUCGGAUUUACUGGGCGUAAAGGGCGCGUAGGCGGCCACCGCAAGUCAAUUGUGAAAUCUCCGGGCUUAACUCGGAAAGGUCAACUGAUACUGCGGGGCUAGAGUGCGGAAGGGGCAACUGGAAUUCUCGGUGUAGCGGUGAAAUGCGUAGAUAUCGAGAGGAACACCUGCGGCGAAGGCGGGUUGCUGGGCCGACACUGACGCUGAGGCGCGAAAGCCAGGGGAGCGAACGGGAUUAGAAACCCUAGUAGUCC